rnacentral:piRNA from 1 species
UUAGAAAUUGAAGAAUUGGUA